AAACUUUUUUCUGAAAAAAAAAACACAAACUUUUUUGGGGAAAAGAACACAAACUUUUUUUGAAAAAAAAAUACAAACUUUUUUUGGAGAAAAAAAACACAAGCUUUUUUGUGACAAACACGUGGCCGUACACGUGUACAAUUUAUUGUACAAGAUGACAUCGGGGGGCCGUAGUUUCAAUUGACUGGUGCAUUAUUUUUUCGUUAGUGUAUGCCAUCACUCGAUAUAUCGGUAUCAAUUACGAAAAUAACAAUAGUUUAUAAUACGGCAACAGUAACUUCUAAAGUUAGCACUAAUUAUUCUAAUUCUUUACUCCUGUCAAUGAAAAAUUCAAAAUCAAUAUUCUGACCAAUCAGAAUGCUCCGUCACCCAGCU